rnacentral:rRNA from 1 species
GCGGCCUAUCAGCUUGUUGGUGAGGUAAUGGCUCACCAAGGCGACGACGGGUAGCCGGCCUGAGAGGGCGACCGGCCACACUGGGACUGAGACACGGCCCAGACUCCUACGGGAGGCAGCAGUGGGGAAUAUUGGGCAAUGGAGGAAACUCUGACCCAGCGACGCCGCGUGCGGGAUGAAGGCCUUCGGGUUGUAAACCGCUUUCAGCAGGGAAGAAGCGAAAGUGACGGUACCUGCAGAAGAAGCACCGGCUAACUACGUGCCAGCAGCCGCGGUAAUACAUAGGGUGCAAGCGUUGUCCGGAAUUAUUGGGCGUAAAGAGCUCGUAGGUCGUUUGUUACGUCGGAUGUGAAAACCUGAGGCUCAACCUCAGGCCCUGCAUUCGAUACGGGCAAACUAGAGUUUGGUAGGGGAGACUGGAAUUCCU